rnacentral:lncRNA from 1 species
GCCCUGAUUCCACCUAUGGGAGCUGGACUCCCACAGCCCCACCAAGAGUGGAGGGAAAAUCCCACUCAAAAAAAAGGGGAGAGGAGUUAAAAAGGAAAGCGAUGGAUUACGUCAGCAAUGAUUGGAAAACAAAUAGCGUCAAAGAUGCAGAGAACCCUGUCUCAGCAAGGAUUGGGGUUCUCAUUAAGAACCCCAGCUUUCAAGGA